rnacentral:lncRNA from 1 species
GCACACAGGAAGGGAGAGGCCACUCCGACUGCUCUGAGGUCCAGGUGGCCCUCGCCCCGGCCCACCCGCGCCUCCCAGGCCCAGCCUCACCUGCUGCCGAGAGAGGACAGUGAUCCCCCAAAAGCCGGAGGUGGAGGAGGAGGAGGAAGAGGAGGAAGGAGCUGGAGGAGCCGGGGACUCGCCCGCUGAAGAUGCUCUUGUCAAGACAAUGAAUGAGAAGCAGCCGUGCGCCCGCCUCCGGGGUGGCCGCGCCCCUUGGGGCGGAGCUCUUCCAGGCCCG